CGCAGACGGAGCCCACAUUGAGGGGCGGGCACUCAGUCCAUAUUGAGGGGCGGGCAAUCAGUCCUCUUUGGGGGAGAAGCCCCUGACUGCAACCCGCAGACGGAGCCCACAUUGGGGGGCGGGCACUCGGUCCUCAUUGAGGGGCGGGCACUCAGUCCUCAUCGAGAAACCGAUUUAAACUACAGUUGGUCCAUUAUCCGCACAGACAUACAAGAAUUUGACAGCGGAUUUUCCAUCCUCCGGGGUGAUGUCGAGUGCUACAGCAGACCAGGUAAACACAUUCCAUCCGAGGGGAGGCGCUGUGUGAAGAGACCGUGGUCGGAAACUGAAACAAAAGCUGUGAUGAAGCACAUGAAGCCAUACAUUCUGAACGGACUUCUGGUCACGAGCGCUCAAUGUGCAUUCUGCAAAGAACACCCUGCAUUAGAAGGACGCACAAUUCAAAAUAUUCAUGAUUUUGUAAGAAAUAAUGGCCUAAAGAAAAAAUAAGUAGUAUUCACACAUGGAAUAGUUGAUGUUUUGCAGUUGUUUCAAGAAUCAAGCUAAAUUCAGACAAGUUAAGUUACGUUUUUUGGUCGCUGGUGGUUCGCGGUUUUGAGUGACUUACGUUUGAGAUGUGUUCAGUCUGAUUUUAUGAAGCUUUUCUUUGAGAAUUGUCAACACUGCUUUAGUAUCCUCACAAUCCUGUUUGCAGUCUGUGUGUCAACUAGUGUC
ensembl:lncRNA